AUUACCAGAAUAUAGGUACCAUCCGUAAAAACUGGAACGAUACAGAGAAGAUUAGCAUGGCCCCUGCGCAAGGAUGACACGCAUAAAUCGAGAAGUAUCGAAAUAUCGG
rnacentral:snRNA from 1 species